ACUCUCCUUUGGCUCCUUGCUGUGUGGGACUGAGCAACUGCUAGAUCCUUGGACUUCCAUUCUACAGCUGCUACUGACCGUUGUUGGGAGUUGGACUGCAGGCUUGACCGGAGGCCCAUCACAGCAGAAGAGAACGGAGCACUUUAACCUAUAAAGACAAAGAAUUCUACAGUUUGCAGUUGCAGUUCCUGCCCAAUGGUUUCUUUUGCUCAGUGGACCGUUAGUAAAAUGCGUGGGAAAAGUUGGACUGAAAAUGGGGAGAGAAGGAGUCCCCUCCACAACCUCGUGCUCAAGAGAUUCAGAGGGAGCACCCUCAAGGACCAAGUGCUCAAGAGACUCAGAGCGCGGACCCUCAAGAACUUCGUGCUCAAGAGAUUCAGAGGGAGCACCCUCAAGGACCAAGUGCUCAAGAGACUCAGAGCGAGCAACCUCAAGAACUUCGUGGUCAAGAGACUCAGAGGGAGCACCUUCCACAACUUCAUGCUCAAGAGACUCAGAGGGAGUACCCUCCAUGACCUCGUGUUCAAGAGACUAAGAGGGAGCACCCUCGAGAACCUCACGCUCAAGAGAUUCAGAGGGAGCACCCUCCAGGAUCUCGUACUCAGGAGAUUCAGAGGGAGCACCCUCCAGAACCUCGUGCUCAAGUCACUAGUAGGGAGCACUCUCCAGGAUCUCGUGCUCAGGAGAUUCAGAGGGAGCACCCUCCACAGCCUCAUGCUCAGGAAACUCAGAAGGAGCUCCCUCUGUGACCUCGUGCUCAGGAGACUCAAAGGGAGCACCCUCCAAGACGUCAUGAUCAGGAGACUCAGAUGGAACACUCUCAAAAACCUCAUGCUCAGGAGACUCAGAGGGAGCACUCUCCAAAACCUCAUGUUUAAGAGGAAGACGGUGAUUGAACCUUAUAUCAAGGUAGAACCGUGAGUCUGGUACUGUAGCAGCCAGCCAAUACCUUUCCAUCCACUCAGGAAUUAUCCUGCUCUGUCACAUCACCCCAAUGUCUCUACCAAACAUUUCAGGAAGACAAAGAAAAAUCUGUCUCUUCUGGCCAAGAUUUGAUUGACAAGCCCAGUUUCUCUAUUUUUUUGUCAGUGCAUCCCAACGUAGGAUCAAUCACAAAAGGCCAAAUAUGUUCCACAAAACAAUCAUGUAGGAGCUCUGCUUAAACCUACCGCCUUCAUCUUUCCGGUGACAAAGGCUUCCAAUCCUGACCUUCCCUAUUUCCACUGUGCUGUUUUCCAGUUCCCAGCCUGCUCUCAACACUUUGCCAUAGUGGAGAUAAUGGAGAUAUCGCUACCUACCAAGGCAUAGCGACCUGGGAACAAACAGCCAGCACCUACUCUAUCUUGUGUGAUCUUCAUUUACUUAAUAACUGCAAGAAAAUUGUUGAAUUGAGAAUGAAACUGAGUAAUGAGUUAUCUCCAGGGAAUCCAGACUAAUGCUCAUACAGCUCUGUUUCUGUCUUCAGUUUUUGUUUGAAUGAUUUUGAUGGCCUCACUCAUUGUUGAUAGCUCCUACUGAAACUAGUUGUCCUUUUCUAGUCUCUGUGUUGUUCUUAGUAAAACCAUGGACAAAAACGAUGCCCAACUUCUGGCUCAUUUAUUGACUUAAUUAUUGCUUCAGUGCCUUGCAGUAGAUCUGUGUAUCCAAACAUCCCAAUACAAAGGAGAUUUAGAAGUGGGGGUAACUUUGAUAGUAGUGGGAAUUCCCAAAGCCCCAGAUCUUCCACAGAUGCACACUGGAGGAAACUGUUCUGGGCUGUUAGUGUAUCCCUCACAAGGCACUGUGGUUUUCUUUGAUUGGUUCCCUUGGCAAGGGAGAUGGAUACAGACUGAUGGUCUGUAUACUUGUUUGAAAUGUGUAUUGAUUGAACUUGUGCUGUGCAAGUCUAGAUUUCUUUUUCUUGCAUUUCUUCUUUCUCUCCUAGGGAAAAAUAAUGCAUAAUUGCAUACUCUGUCAGUUCCUGACAUCACUAACCACCAGAUGCAAUGUCUCCUUAUGCUCACAGUUCUCAGGACACACUGAUUCCUCUACAGUAGGCUGUGCCUUGCUCAUGUGUAGCUGAGACAGGAAGUCACAAGCUCGAGAUGAUGAUACUUUCUGUUCUGAGUGCUUUUUCCUCUUAUCCUCCUGUUAGCUCAAACGUGUGCAGAGAUGUUAUGGCUAGACCUCUGGCUUAGCUGAUCAGCAGGAAUAAUGCCUUUGAAAAGCCUAAGGAAAAGUAAUAGAAGAUGGAGCUUGUUACAGCUUGAAUAUGUUUGGCCCAGGGAGUGGCACUAUUAGAAGAAGUAGCCUUGUUGGAGUAGGUAUGUCCCUCUUGGAGUAGGUGUGUCACCAUGGGUAUGGGUUUUAAGACCCUCAUUCUAGCUACCUGGAAGCCAGUAUUCUGCUAGCAGCCUUCAGAUGAAGAUGUAGAACUCUCUACUCCUCCUGCAUCCUGCCUGCCUGGAUGCUGCCAUGCUUCCAGCCUUGAAGAUAAUGGACUGAACCUCUGAACCUGUAAGUCAGCACCAAUUAAAUGUUGUCCUUAUAAGACUUGCCUUGGUCUCGGUACCUGUUCAUAGCAGUAAAACCCUUAUACAGAGCUGUUGGAAACACUCAGAGCAGAGUCCUUGGUAAGGGACAGAUGGGUGGAGUUCAUCUUCCCACUUUCUACCAGAUGAUUAGCUAACAACCAAAUGACAGCAGAAUUCUGAGUCUCCAUUUCUGACGUCAGUUAGCUCAAAGACCUAUAUAUUUUAGCCAGUUGAGGUGUUGCUGGUGAGGCUAAGAGAACCCCUAUGGGAUAGAUAAGUAUAAAAUAAUCUAGUUAUCUUGGAUUCUGUUUACUCAAUCUUCUCCAUCCCAAGCUAGCAGAAAAAAGUAAAAAUAAAAGAUUGAAAAAUGU